GACGAACGCUGGCGGCGUGCUUAACACAUGCAAGUCGAACGGAAAGGCCCUGCUUUUGUGGGGUGCUCGAGUGGCGAACGGGUGAGUAACACGUGAGUAACCUGCCCUUGACUUUGGGAUAACUUCAGGAAACUGGGGCUAAUACCGGAUAGGAGCUCCUGCUGCAUGGUGGGGGUUGGAAAGUUUCGGCGGUUGGGGAUGGACUCGCGGCUAAUCAGCUUGUGGGUGGGGUAGUGGCUUACCAAGGCUUUGACGGGUAGCCGGCCUGAGAGGGUGACCGGCGACAUGGGGACUGAGGUACGGACCAGAGUCGUACGGGGGGCAGCGGUGGGGAAUAUUGCACAAUGGGCGGACGCCUGAUGAAGAAACGCCGCGUGCGGGAUGACGGCCUUGGGGUUGGAAACCGCUUUCGGCUAUGACGAAGCGUGAGUGACGGUAAUGGGUAAAGAAGCACCGGCUAACUACGUG
rnacentral:rRNA from 1 species